UAACCAUGUUGUCUUGCUUUAUUGAUUGGCAAAACAUGGUUUUACUACAGUAAACGUUUGUUUUGGACUGCAUAACUCCUUUAAUAUAACCAUAAAUAAUGUCAAUAAAAAGGUCUGUUCAUUCAAUAAACCGGGAAAAAUCUGUAUGAACGUAUACGUAGAAAUAAUAUUGAGGACACACUGCACGAUAAUGAAACCUUUAGUUUGAUUAAAAGUCGAUUAAUAUUUCUGUUUUUAUUAAAUAAAUAUUCUAUGUUGGCUCUAAACAGGCAACUUUCUUUCUUGGAAGCAGCACUGGAAGAAGCACUUUACUUUCAUCUUUUAUAUAUUUAUUUACUUUUAUUAUGUUAUUAUUGGCGGAGGCGCGUAAGGCGCGUGUCCGUAUACCGAAUGCUUUGAUCACGUGAUUAUUCAAACCAGGAGACGCGCAAUCUGGAUUAACCGCUGUUCUCCUCAGACGAGUGUUUUGGUGGUAUUAUGAGAUCCCUUUCUUGGUGUGUCUUGAUUUUUCAUAUUGGCUAAAGACAAGAUAUGUCUGCAAAUGCUGGUUCCAUGUCACAUGGCUUAUUCGAGACUAGAUCUACAAAAAACACUGCAGAUUUUGUUACCAUCAACUUGCAUUAUACAACUGACAGACUGAAACGGUUGGACUCAAAAAUCUACAUUUGUGUUCCACUGGAGAAACAAAGUCACCUACAUCUUGGAUGGCCUGGGGACUACCUGACCUGUUCCUGUUAAGAGCUAGUCACUCUUUGUGGAAUGUUCCUGGCCCAUUUUUCCCAAGUUUUUACCAAAGUUUUUUCAAUGACCUCAAAAUUGAUGUGUAAAAAUUAUAAUAAACUUGAAUUUGUUUAAAUUUGUCUAUAGACUGGGUUAUUUUUGCACAAACCUAUUUGGUAAUUUUAUGGUUCCUCAUCUUAUCUUUGCCAUUCUAUUAUUUAAUUACAAAGCAGCAAUUUAGAAUACGGUAAUUAAACAGU